GUCAGCAACUGACACUCCACACACCACCUGUCCCUGAAGCACCACCUGCCCCAGUAACACCACCUGAAAAUGUGAAUGCUGGGCACACAUCCUCACCUGUGCCAGGCAUCCAAGACACCUCUGAGAACCUUAGUGGAGGAAAUCAAACAUUGGCUGGCGAGCAACAGGUGCAUGUGGUUCCAAAGUUCUGCAGGAAACGUAACCAAGUGAAACUCCUGCAGAACCAACUGUACCGUUUAAGGAAGAAAAACUUAACACUAUCACGUAACCUGGUGAAAACACCAGCCCAAUUGAUUUCUAAGAUGGAAAAGUAUUUAGGUGGGACACUUCUAGACUUAGUAAAAGGGCAGAUUAUGAAUGCUGUAAAAAGUAAGACAGGAGUAAGGUAUGGGGUGCAGGAGAGGAGAUUUGCUCUAGCCACAUUUCAUCAUAGUCCUAAAGCUUACAGAUUUCUUCGUUCAAUUUUCCGUCUUCCUUCUGUUUCUACUUUGCAUUCAUGGUUGCGAAAGAUACCUUUACAUACUGGCUGGAGCAAGUCUACUCUGACAGUCCUUAAGAAUAAGGCAGAGGCCUUGCCAAAAGAAGAGAUUCUUUGUGGCAUUGUGUUUGACGCAAUGAGCUUAAAGGAAUCUCUUCAUUUUGACAAGGCCACUGACACUGUAAUCGGCAGAGAGGAUUUUGGUGAACACGGCAAGAGUCUCAAAUUGGCGAAUCAUGCACUUGUUUUCAUGGUAAAGGGUCUUAUUAAAAACUGGAAAAUGGUCUUGGGUUACUUUUUUUACUCGGGAGGGAUUACCACUAGUAGGUUGCAAGAGCUGUUUGAAGCGUCUAUCAGUAAAGUUCAAGAAACAGGGAUGAAAGUAAUGUUUACUGUUUGUGACCAAGAAGGUGCUCACCGUUCCCUGUUUCAGACUCUUGGCAUGUCUCCCGAAAAACCCUCUUUUGAGCUGAAUGGUGAGAGGAUACAUUUCUUCUAUGAUGCGCCUCAUCUGUUGAAAAGCCUCAGGAACACUCUUUUAAAGUAUAAUAUCAAGAUAGGGGGUAAUGUAAUUUCAUGGGAUCAUAUUAA